UACGUAGGGGGCAAGCGUUAUUCGGAAUUACUGGGCGUAAAGCGUGCGCAGGCGGUUUUGUAAGUCUGCCGUGAAAUCCCCGGGCUUAACCUGGGAAUGGCGAUGGAGACUGCAAGGCUAGAGUUUGGCAGAGGGGGGUAGAAUUCCACGUGUAGCAGUGAAAUGCGUAGAGAUGUGGAGGAACACCGAUGGCGAAGGCAGCCCCCUGGGUCAAAACUGACGCUCAUGCACGAAAGCGUGGGGAGCAAACAGG
rnacentral:rRNA from 1 species